CUACGGGAGGCACCAGUCAAGAAUCUUCCUCAAUGGACGAAAGUCUGAAGGAGCAAUGCCGCGUGAUCGAUGAAGCUUUUCGGAGUGUAAAGAUCUUUUAUCAAGGACGAAUUCGUGACGGUACUUGAUGAAUAAGUCACUGCUAACUACGUGCCAGCAGCAGCGGUAAUACGUAGGUGGCGAGCGUUACCCGGAUUGAUUGGGCGUAAAGGGUCCGCAGGCGGUUUGAACAGUCAUUGGUCAAAUCUUGAGGCUUAACUUCAAGACUGCUAAUGAUACUUUCAAACUAGAGACUGGGAGAGGCAAACGGAAUUGCCGGUGUAGUAGUAAAAUGCGUUGAUAUCGGUAGGAACACCAAAAGCGAAGGCAGUUUGCUAGAACAGUUCUGACGCUCAGGGACGAAAGCAUGGGUAGCGAAUGGGAUUAGAUACCCCCGUAGUC
rnacentral:rRNA from 1 species